AUGGCUCAGGAUGAACGCUAGCUACAGGCUUAACACAUGCAAGUCGAGGGGCAGCAUGUUGGUUGCUUGCAACCAAUGAUGGCGACCGGCGCACGGGUGAGUAACGCGUAUCCAACCUUCCCCUUAGUAGAGGAUAGCCCGGCGGAAGUCGGAUUAAUACUCUAUGUUCUUCAAUGCGGACAUCUAAGUUGAAGCAAAGAUUUAUCGCUAAGGGAUGGGGAUGCGUCUGAUUAGGUUGCAGGCGGGGUAACGGCCCACCUGGCCUACGAUCAGUAGGGGUUCUGAGAGGAAGGUCCCCCACACUGGUACUGAGACACGGACCAGACUCCUACGGGAGGCAGCAGUGAGGAAUAUUGGUCAAUGGGCGCGAGCCUGAACCAGCCAAGUAGCGUGCAGGAACCGACUGCCCUAUGGGUUGUAAACUGCUUUUAUCAGGGAAUAAAGUGAGGCACGCGUGCCUUUUUGUAUGUACCUGAUGAAUAAGGACCGGCUAAUUCCGUGCCAGCAGCCGC
rnacentral:rRNA from 1 species